rnacentral:rRNA from 1 species
UGAACGCUAGCGGCAGGCUUAAUACAUGCAAGUCGAACGGUAAGGUCCCGCUUGCGGGACACACGAGUGGCGCACGGGUGCGUAACGCGUAUGCAACCUACCUUCAACUGGAGAAUAGCCCCGAGAAAUCGGGAUUAAUACUUCAUAAUAUCUACAGAUCGCAUGGUCAGUAGAUUAAAGCUCCGGCGGUUGAAGAUGGGCAUGCGUGACAUUAGUUUGUUGGUGAGGUAACGGCUCACCAAGACUACGAUGUCUAGGGGUCCUGAGAGGGUUAUCCCCCACACUGGUACUGAGACACGGACCAGACUCCUACGGGAGGCAGCAGUAAGGAAUAUUGGGCAAUGGACGAAAGUCUGACCCAGCCAUGCCGCGUGCAGGAUGACAGCCCUACGGGUUGUAAACUGCUUUUAUACGGGAAAAAAUCUCCGAUGUAUCGGGGUGUGAUGGUACCGUAUGAAUAAGCAUCGGCUAACUCC